UGGUGGAGUGAUUUGUCUGGUUAAUUCUGUUAACGAACGAGACCUCGACCUGCUAAAUAGUACAACGUAAGUCUUACUUAUGUAUGCACUUCUUAGAGGGACUAUCGGUUUCUAGCCGAAGGAAGUUCGAGGCAAUAACA
rnacentral:rRNA from 1 species